GCUGCCUAAGGCCUUAAUAGAGAUUAGAGUUACUCUGUUGAGGUCAUUUGAGCUUUAGAAUUUAGGGUCAUGAAGUUAAGAUUUUUGAUUUUGGUUUUGGUGCAAAUUUUGUCUGAUUUGGAGUUUAUAUGAAAGAGAUAUGGGCGCUCAAAUUUAAGGUAUUGAUUUUGUAUCUAUUGUCACUCUUUUAGAUAUAUCACAUGGAUACAAAAAGAAAUAAAGGAUUGGUGAUUGGAAUUGGAGAGAACACUUUUUCAACUACACUUAUGAU
rnacentral:lncRNA from 1 species